rnacentral:rRNA from 1 species
UGCAUAUCAAAAAGCGGAGGAAAAGAAACCAACAGGGAUUGCCCUAGUAACGGCGAGUGAAGCGGCAACAGCUCAAAUUUGAAAUCUGGCUCUUUUAGAGUCCGAGUUGUAAUUUGCAGAGGGCGCUUUGGCUUUGGCAGCGGUCCAAGUUCCUUGGAACAGGACGUCACAGAGGGUGAGAAUCCCGUACGUGGUCGCUAGCUAUUGCCGUGUAAAGCCCCUUCGACGAGUCGAGUUGUUUGGGAAUGCAGCUCUAAAUGGGAGGUAAAUUUCUUCUAAAGCUAAAUAUUGGCCAGAGACCGAUAGCGCACAAGUAGAGUGAUCGAAAGAUGAAAAGCACUUUGGAAAGAGAGUCAAACAGCACGUGAAAUUGUUGAAAGGGAAGCGCUUGCAGCCAGACUUGCUUGCAGUUGCUCAUCCGGGCUUUUGCCCGGUGCACUCUUCUGCAGGCAGGCCAGCAUCAGUUUGGGCGGUGGGAUAAAGGUCUCUGUCACGUUCCUUCCUUCGGGUUGGCCAUAUAGGGGAGAUGUCAUACCACCAGCCUGGACUGAGGUCCGCGCAUCUGCUAGGAUGCUGGCGUAAUGGCUGUAAGCGGCCCGUCUUGAA